GAUAGGGUUUUGCAGUGGUUACAGGCUUUGGAUAUGCAGGUCAUGGGGGCUUGUAGAGCCGAUGAGAGGUUAAAGCCGUUGUUGAAGCAGAAUGCUUCUAGUGGGAUGGCCGAAGAUCGCCUUUUGGCCCAUCUGAGUCAGCACUUCGAGCCAUCAGAAGUUGGCAUGCUUGCUAGAUGUUUCUGUAUACCUCUGGUUUCAAUUCGUGUUGGCAAGAUUAGCAAACGAGGGACCCUACUUUGUCCUACUGCCUC
rnacentral:misc_RNA from 1 species